UGGGGAAUAUUGCACAAUGGGCGCAAGCCUGAUGCAGCCAUGCCGCGUGUAUGAAGAAGGCCUUCGGGUUGUAAAGUACUUUCAGCGGGGAGGAAGGUGUUGAGGUUAAUAACCUCAGCAAUUGACGUUACCCGCAGAAGAAGCACCGGCUAACUCCGUGCCAGCAGCCGCGGUAAUACGGAGGGUGCAAGCGUUAAUCGGAAUUACUGGGUGUAAAGCGCACGCAGGCGGUCUGUCAAGUCGGAUGUGAAAUCCCCGGGCUCAACCUGGGAACUGCAUUCGAAACUGGCAGGCUAGAGUCUUGUAGAGGGGGGUAGAAUUCCAGGUGUAGCGGUGAAAUGCGUAGAGAUCUGGAGGAAUACCGGUGGCGAAGGCGGCCCCCUGGACAAAGACUGACGCUCAGGUGCGAAAGCGUGGGGAGCAAACA
rnacentral:rRNA from 1 species